UUUGCUUUCGGUUUUGGUGGUCA
rnacentral:siRNA from 1 species